GAUGAACGCUGGCGGCGUGCCUAAUACAUGCAAGUCGAGCGAACAGACGAGGAGCUUCUCCUCUGACGUUAGCGGCGGACGGGUGAGUAACACGUGGAUAACCUACCUAUAAGACUGGGAUAACUUCGGGAAACCGGAGCUAAUACCGGAUAAUAUAUUGAACCGCAUGGUUCAAUAGUGAAAGACGGUUUUGCUGUCACUUAUAGAUGGAUCCGCGCCGCAUUAGCUAGUUGGUAAGGUAACGGCUUACCAAGGCAACGAUGCGUAGCCGACCUGAGAGGGUGAUCGGCCACACUGGAACUGAGACACGGUCCAGACUCCUACGGGAGGCAGCAGUAGGGAAUCUUCCGCAAAGGGCGAAAGCUUGACGGAGCAACGCCGCGUGAGUGAUGAAGGUCUUCGGAUCGUAAAACUCUGUUAUUAGGGAAGAACAAAUGUGUAAGUAACUAUGCACGUCUUGACGGUACCUAAUCAGAAAGCCACGGCUAACUACGUG
rnacentral:rRNA from 1 species